UGGGGCGUGGCCAAGCAGCAAGGCGCUGGGCUUUGAACCCAGGUCAACGGAGGUUCAAAUCCUCCCGCCCCAGCCA
rnacentral:tRNA from 1 species